GCUAACUUCGGGCCGGCGGGUGCGGGAAGACGAAGGAGGCCAGGGUGAUUCGGGUUCAUGGGGGUGAAAUGGAGCGGAGGCGGACCUGUAAGUCAGUGGGGAAAUCUCUUCGCUUAACGAAGAAACUGCCAUUGAGACUGCCGGUCUUGAGUACAGAUGAUGGGGGCAGAAUAUGACAUGUAGUGGUGAAAUACUUAGAUAUGUCAGAGAACACCGAUUGCGAAGGCAGCUCACAAAACUGUAACUGACGCUGAGGCUCGAAAGUGUGGGGAUCAAACAGGAUUAGAUACCCCAGUAGUC
rnacentral:rRNA from 1 species